GACGAACCGUGCAAACGUUGUUCGGAAUCACUGGGCUUAAAGGGCGCGUAGGCGGGCAAGCAAGUCGAAGGUGAAAUCCCACGGCUCAACCGUGGAAGUGCUCCCGAUACUGCUUGUCUUGAGGGAGAUAGGGGCGUGCGGAACUUCCGGUGGAGCGGUGAAAUGCGUAGAUAUCGGAAGGAACACCGGUGGCGAAAGCGGCGCGCUGGAUCUCUUCUGACGCUGAGGCGCGAAAGCCAGGGGAGCAAACGGG
rnacentral:rRNA from 1 species